CGUAGGGCAAGCGUUGUCCGGAAUUAUUGGGCGUAAAGCGCGCGCAGGCGGCUUUUAAGUCCGGUGUCACAGCCCAAGGCUCAACCUUGGGUCGCACUGGAAACUGGAGAGCUUGAGUACAGAAGAGGAAAGUGGAAUUCCACGUGUAGCGGUGAAAUGCGUAGAGAUGUGGAGGAACACCAGUGGCGAAGGCGACUUUCUGGGCUGUAACUGACGCUGAGGCGCGAAAGCGUGGGGAGCAAACAGGAUU
rnacentral:rRNA from 1 species